rnacentral:sRNA from 1 species
AGAACAGCGUCGACGGCGGCAAGUGCCAACGGCUUGGCCUGCGGCGCGACCUCGCCAUU